UAAAACAUAAGGAAUGGCAGCCGCUGUGCUC
rnacentral:piRNA from 1 species